CAGCCUGAAGUGAUGAUUCACAUUCAUGUCUCUUCUCUGACAAAGCUCUUGAAGAAAAUUUUGUGUAUCUGAUCGGGCCU